GAGGGUAUAGCUCAAGUGGUAGGGUGCAUGUUUAGCACACACAGUGUCCUGGGUUCAAUCCCCAGUGCCGUCC
rnacentral:tRNA from 1 species